ACCUGGCUGGCUCACUCAGUAAAGCCUGUGACUCUUGAUCUCAAAGUUGUAAGUUCAAGUCCCACGUUGGGUG
rnacentral:tRNA from 1 species